rnacentral:rRNA from 1 species
GACGAACGCUGGCGGCGUGCUUAACACAUGCAAGUCGAACGGAAAGGCCCUGCUUUUGUGGGGUGCUCGAGUGGCGAACGGGUGAGUAACACGUGAGUAACCUGCCCUUGACUUUGGGAUAACUUCAGGAAACUGGGGCUAAUACCGGAUAGGAGCUCCUGCUGCAUGGUGGGGGUUGGAAAGUUUCGGCGGUUGGGGAUGGACUCGCGGCUUAUCAGCUUGUUGGUGGGGUAGUGGCUUACCAAGGCUUUGACGGGUAGCCGGCCUGAGAGGGUGACCGGCCACAUUGGGACUGAGAUACGGCCCAGACUCCUACGGGAGGCAGCAGUGGGGAAUAUUGCACAAUGGGUGGAAGCCUGAUGCAGCAACGCCGUGUGCGGGAUGACGGCCUUCGGGUUGUAAACCGCUUUCGCUCAUGACGAAGCUUUGUGUGACGGUAGUGGGUAAAGAAACACCGGCUAACUACGU